GCUAUGGACCCGAGGGCAGUUCUCGGCAUCUCCAUCUAAAGAUAUUCUUUUUAAGGGGAUGUUUUUAGGAUUCGACAUAGU
rnacentral:tmRNA from 1 species